UCCCAAUUUAAAUCUCACUAACUAGAUCAUAACCCGUGCUAUACAGCACGGGCAUUAAUAUUUUGUAUAAAUUAAAUUGUAUACUUUAUUUGAAUUACAUAAGAAAUAGUAUAAUAUAAAAGUGAUA
rnacentral:sRNA from 1 species